UGUCACUGUAGUAUCUGAACACCUUCCACGUGAAACCAGUCAAAAUAGUGACAUCCCUAGCACUAGCAGGGAUCCCUGCAGGCUUUGGUUUCAGCUGUCUGCACUCCUGAUUUAGUCAUACUCCUGCAGAUGAGGUAAUGGUCUCUGAAGUCAGCCCAGAAAAUGUCCCCUGUACCAGAGGCUGGAGAAAUCUCCUUUGCAUACAGUAAAUCACCAUCCAGAGCGGGCUGAAGACAGCUAGGAAAAACAGCAAGCCAAGAAUGAACAAAAUGCUCCAUGACCGAGAGCUCUGCAUGUGUGUCUCCUCUAUAACCGGGUACAUCUGAACUGAGGAUAAAAGACCAUUGCUGCCAGCAGCCUUCAGGAAAUUUCAAGAUGAAAACAAAACACCAGGUUGACCACACGUUAUUCCUGAGAGCAGAAUCUAUAUGAAAGAUUAUCGGGGUUGAGGGACGAUCAACUAAUAUUUCCUGGUGUUGAGAGAGAAAGAAAAGUCUUAUGGGACACUUCCACAGUUCCACCCAUGGAGUCCUGCUCCUACCCUCUUCAGUGAAAGCAUCUCCUAGAGCCCAGGAAACAGAAAGUGGGACCCACUGGACUGACACCUUUCAAUACUGCUUUCCCGUGAAGAGCCCUGAAAGCCAGGGACUGAGAUGGGCAGAAUGUGAGGGAACCCACCUCUUUGGCCUAGGCUACUCCACACAAUCUUGGAACAAGGAACUGCUGUCCAUGGUCCUGUGAAAAUGUGAAGAAGCAAUCAGUGCACUGGACCAUCACUAUUGGGAUGUGGAUUAAAUUCCUCCCUGGAAGACAUACUUGAAAUGAGUUCUUCUGGGCAUCAGCCUUUUCUUGGUGCAUUAGAUCCCUGCUUGGAGCCCUAGUGUGAAAUAUGUGUGGGUGAGUCUCAAUUGAUUUCCUUGUGGUUGUACCCCUUCCUGCAGCCACCUUAUGUGAAAUAAACUCAGCUGAAUAUCA